rnacentral:lncRNA from 1 species
UUCACGACUAAGUUAUUUAUUUCAAUUUAAGAACAGUGAAAUUCCUCCGGACAACUAAUAUCGAAGUGGUUUUAUUCGGCUAAGGAAGCUGUUCAUAUAUGGGGGCGUGGCAAAACGAAUGUUUAAAAUGUAUCCUUAUGAUCAGGAGCAGCAAUUUAAAACUAUAUUUAUACUGAACUAAUAAAUGUGAGCCAAUGUCAGUCAGAAGUGAAUGAAUGACAAUUAUCGCAUUAGUUUCCGUUGAGCCACCGCUAUUCAGACGGCACCAACGCAAUACAAUUUGUUCGCUGUGAUCAUUUUACGUAUUGCUGAAACACUGAAAACAGCUAACGGAAAACACCAAAAAUUAAUGAGAAUUUAAAAAAAUUAGGAAACUAUAAAUACACACACUACACAUUUUUUGAAAUCUCCUUUUAUCAGAGAUAAUUUAAACGAAAUAUUUCCUAAAUAGUAUCCGUGUCCGGUUAUAGGAACUGGUUUUGUAUGAAAAUAUUAAUGAAAACGUUGUGCUCAUGAAAUUUGUCCAGGUUAUGAGGACUCCGUAUUGGGGAAUUUCAUUCUACUAGAAAAAGAAAGUAUGACCACAAGUGUUCCAGGGUUGCGAAUUAUUUAAUUGUCCAAUGGGAUUAAAAAUUAUAUUUUAUAUUUCAAUUCAUGAUUCUGAAUA